rnacentral:rRNA from 1 species
GCAUAUCAAUAAGCGGAGGAAAAGAAACUAACAAGGAUUCCCCUAGUAGCGGCGAGCGAAGCGGGAAGAGCUCAAAUUUAUAAUCUGGCACCUUCGGUGUCCGAGUUGUAAUCUCUAGAAGUGUUUUCCGCGUUGGACCGCACACAAGUCUGUUGGAAUACAGCGGCAUAGUGGUGAAACCCCCGUAUAUGGUGCGGACGCCCAGCGCUUUGUGAUACACUUUCAAUGAGUCGAGUUGUUUGGGAAUGCAGCUCAAAUUGGGUGGUAAAUUCCAUCUAAAGCUAAAUAUUGGCGAGAGACCGAUAGCGAACAAGUACCGUGAGGGAAAGAUGAAAAGCACUUUGGAAAGAGAGUUAACAGUACGUGAAAUUGUUGGAAGGGAAACGCUUGAAGUCAGACUUGCUUGCCGGAGCUUGCUUCGGUUUGCAGGCCAGCAUCAGUUUUCCGGGGUGGAUAAUAACGGUUUGAAGGUAGCAGUCUCGGCUGUGUUAUAGCUUUCCGUUGGAUACAUCCUGGGGGACUGAGGAACGCAGCGUGCUUUUUGCGAAAGACUCGUCUUUUUCACGCUUAGGAUGCUGGUGGAAUGGCUUUAAACGACCCGUCU